rnacentral:rRNA from 1 species
CAGUAGCCGCGGUAAGACGGAGGGUGCUAGCGUUGUUCGGAAUCACUGGGCGUAAAGGGCGCGUAGGCGGCCUGUUAAGUCGGAUGUGAAAGCCCGGGGCUCAACCCCGGAACUGCAUCCGAGACUGGCAGGCUUGAGACCGGGAGAGGAGGGUGGAAUAUCCAGUGUAGAGGUGAAAUUCGUAGAUAUUGGAUGGAACACCGGUGGCGAAAGCGGCUCUCUGGCCCGGAUCUGACGCUGAGGCGCGAAAGCGUGGGGAGCAAACAGGAUUAGAUACCCCCGUAGUCCCUGUCUCUUAUAC